UGGGGAAUAUUGCGCAAUGGGCGAAAGCCUGACGCAGCGACGCCGCGUGGGUGAUGAAGGCUUUCGGGUCGUAAAACUCUGUCGGGUGGAACGAAUCUCCGCCUUGCUAAUACCGAGGCGGAAUGACGGUACCACCGAAGGAAGCCCCGGCUAACUACGUGCCAGCAGCCGCGGUAAUACGUAGGGGGCGAGCGUUGUUCGGAUUUACUGGGCGUAAAGAGCGUGUAGGCGGUUCGAUGAGUCGGAGGUGAAAUCCCUCGGCUUAACCGAGGUCCCGCGUCCGAUACUGUCGAACUUGAGUGCAGGAGAGGAGAGCGGAAUUCCCAAUGUAGCGGUGAAAUGCGUAGAUAUUGGGAGGAACACCGGUGGCGAAGGCGGCUCUCUGGACUGCUACUGACGCUGAGGCGCGAAAGCUAGGGGAGCAAACGGGAUUAGAUACCCCGGUAGUCCUAGCCGUAAACGAUGGGCACUAGGUGUGGGAGGUAUCGACCCCUUCCGUGCCGCAGCUAACGCAAUAAGUGCCCCGCCUGGGGAGUACUGCCGCAAGGUUG
rnacentral:rRNA from 1 species